AACUAUGCUGAGUACGUUGGGCGUACUCCAAUGUACACUAAGUGUACUGGCCUGCUAGUGAGUAUGCUGGGCUUACCUACACGUACGCUCAGCGUAAUCCUCCUGUUAAGACACUUUUCCAUUAAGUGGUUGAUACUCCACUCUAGAGGCUACCAACUCAGAUCCAGGUCCUUACUGAUGUCUUAAACCAUAAAGUCACUAACUUGGUGACUUGCAAUCCACCAAACAAGCCCAAACUCUAAAAGGUGACAACAUGCUUUCAUUCCAAGGGCUAGAUCUCAUGCGUGGACACAAAUGAGUCCUAAAGGUUGAAACUUUACUGCUUAUGGGACUCAUAUGACACUAAUGGUGGCAACCCUGGACCUAGAAGGCGAGUUGUGACAUAGAGGUCAAAUCUUGGAACCAAAAGGACCGAAAACUUCCAUUAACAUAGAUCUAAGCAUACUUAAGGAAAGUUUCAGACUUGAUACCUCACAAUGGUCUGAAAUGGAACCAAAAUCUCCGAUCUACAGCAUCCCUUUCGAUCCACCACCUUGCUAAUCUCUUCUCUUGUUUUGUAAUGGCUUUACAGCCCCCAAAUACUCACUUAAUGGCCACCAAAGCUUCAAUAACACUCAAGGAGGGUUAGGGUUUCGUGGAGACUGCCUAAGGAUGAGAUGGGGCUGGCCCCUUUAAGCAUAAUGUUCCUUUUAUAAUGUCACAACCCCAAAUUAGGGUUUUAGGAAAACUGAGCGUAUGCUGGGCAUACGCCUCCGCGCACCCGCGACCAUGCACCUUAUGACGCUGGGCGUACCCACGCGCCUCUUAUUUGCAUGCGUGCAUCUUCUUGCCAAUUUUCCCAUUAAGGGACCAUUUAUGUCAAUAACUUCAAAUCAUCAUAAUUCCUUCAUUCUAAGUCCGUUUCUGACACACCUUAUAUCCACGGAAAGGUAACGAGAAGCCCUACACUUCUAUCAACUCAUAUCUUCCUAAAUAUCUUCUGAACAAAAGUCCAUUUUCCAAAAAAAACCCAAACUGGCAUUUUACCGAAAUACCCCUAGGCUCCAAAACACGAACCGAACACCCGGAUCACUUCUAAUAUAUCACCCGCACCCAAAAGGGGCUAGAUCUUACCUUCACAAGAGCCAUAAUCCUUAUAAUGACUGACCUUCGAGCUAGCACCUCAGACUAGGAGUCACUUCGGAAUAGAGCGUUACAACUCUCCACCACUUAGAUUAGAUUUCGUCCUCGAAAUCAUGCAUCACUGUCCCCGACAUACCAAACAACCUGGACAGCACCGCCACAAACCCGUGAAUACCACAGCCCACUUAAGGCAACUGAACCCAAUCCUCCUAAUGUUCUAGAACACGGAGAUGAACAAAUUCCUUACAACCCGAUCACACCUGCCCCAUCUGAAAUCUGAAAUCUCGAGAUGGUCUGUCUCCCUGACAGACUGUCCACAACGAAUCAUCAUCGAACUGAUGCUUCCUUAAGAGCAACAUCACUGACCAACCGUGACUACCGAAUAUAAGCAAUUCUACAUACAGACCCCAAAUCACUAAAGUCGCUCCUAAUCCUCUUGCUGCCACAUGGAUGCUUUCCUGGAGAACACCUGAGGACCUCCCUGGUCCCAGCCUGUCUGCCAACUGUCCAGAACACCCCAUACAUACCUGAUUGUGUGAGCCGAAAACACACUCAACAGUCCCCUGCGACCUCUGACAGACUACCUCGUCCAACCAUAAUUUCCCUAUCUCCUUUAACCCAUUGAUCCAUCCGAUAGAGAUAGGCUGACAAACCGUCGCCACUGAACCCAACACCAAAAAGAUGAAUACUACCAAAAUAGCUGUAGACUUACAUCAUACCCGGCCUCCGUCGACCCAUCGUUUCCUGAUUCUGACAUGUCGUGGCUCUAUUACGGAUAGGGCCACCCGAGACACAUCACAAUGGCUUAAACUACCAUCAAACCAAUCCGUUCACCACCCUGAAAUUCUACCGUCGAUGCCCUUGGCAUAUAGAUUCCCCACAUCCCAGCUCACUAAAAUAAAAUCCCGCAUGCAUUCCGAUUCGGGUUCCUAUCCAAAUCCAAAUUGUUACUCCGGUCCUGUCCAAAGAUCCUCGAAUCGGCAUUUGCAUAUUGAACCAUGACUUCCUGUCAUCCCUUACUCGACCAAUUAAUAAAUACCCUUAGCCGAUUCCCUGAGACUUCCAGUCUCGCACCCGGUCCAAUCACCAGGUUCUUAUGAGAUGCAAUAACAGGGCUACCCAGCUGUAGCCCAGCAGAAACAUGAACUACUCGACCACCAAAAUCCUGCAUCCCCAGGUCCAACCCUUAGCUCAGCAGUCUCUACAGGUUCCAUCCUAAAUUCCCAUAACCAUCCGGGCUCACCCCCGAAUAACUGAUCGGUCAAUCACCUCUGGUCCUGAUCCUAACUAAGUUGUGGCUCCCCCACAACCCUACGAACUAGCCUGCGCUAGUCCAAAUCACUUGGAAGAAACCGUGAACGCUACGACACCCUCGUAGUCUUACAACACUCUCUACUGCUAGUGAAUGCUACGACUCCCCCGUAGUCUUACAACACUUUCCACACUAUCCGACUGCUAGUGAAUACUACAACUCCCCCGUAGUCUUACAACACUUUCACCUUCACAUUAUCACUGAACAUAACCCUAUCACUCAUCUAUCAAUCCAAACAUAUGUUGGAUUAGUGUCUAAGCCCGUAACCAUAUUUGGUAAGUACUUUACCCGGUUGUGCAUGGUCCUUUUGGGUUGCCUUCAAACCUGACAAUGGAAUAGGAUAAUUGUUGGAGAGAGAAGAAUGAUUUAUUAAUUUAUUACUUGAUUAAUAAAUUAAUUUGAAAUCAAGAUAAAUGAUUUAUUAAUGUAUUAUGGAUAUAAUAUAUUGAUUAGAAAUCAUAUUGUUUAAUUAAUAUUUAAUCAGAAAUUAAUUUGGAAUUAAUUUUAGGAUUAAAGGAAUUAAUUGAAACUGCAGGGACUAAAGGUGACAAUGUUCAAAAGUUGAGCAUUGAAGCAUUCUAGAACCUCCCUUAGAGGUGGGGAACGAAAUCUAGAGUAUCCUAGGGUUUCCUUGGGCUCUAAGGGUGCCUUGGAAGCCUUAGGGAGGAACUUAAAGGAUUAGGGUUGUCUAAGAUACACUCGCCUUAUCCUAAACCUUCCUUAUCACCUAUGUAAACCCCUAUAGGGUUGGAUUUCGUGUAAGGCACUCCAAGAGAGGCUUAGAGCUGAAUUUUCCACUUCCUUUCUCUCUCCAUAGUAAUCAUUGUGGCGCUUGCUUUCAAAGACAAGAAGAUUCAAGAUUUAAGUUGUUAUUACAAUAUAACAACAAGAGGUAUGUAUUUCAUCUUUCUUUGUGAAUUUUGAAAUCCCUAGAAUCUUGUUAGGUUUCUUCACAUGUUCAUAAUGUUGUAUAACUAAUAGUGAUAACAUAGAUCCAACUCUAGGGUUGCAUGCACACAUAGGAUUGUUUGUAUAAAACCCAUCAACAUAUCUCAACGUUGAGCGCCCACUUGGUCUAUCCUCCCAACUGAACUAGAAAACUGGCUGGAACUCUACCUGGUUCCCUACCCCAAAGCCUGCUAUAUGUCAUCAGACAACACGAUCCAAAUGUUUAGGAGUUUCCUGAACUCCCAUCAACUAUAUCCUAUAUUCAGUCAGCCCCUAAGGUCGACUUUCCUCCCCCAAAGGGGAAUGUAAGACACAUCCUCAUCUUACACUCACUGCUAUCCUGGAUAUCUGAAUAACUCUCCCCCACUUAGAUUCCACUAAGUCCGCUCAACAUAUGAGAAUUGAAGGUUUCCCAAAGCCUCUCUCGUUCCAAUGAUCAAUCUGCUGAUGGACGGUGCCUAAUAAAGCUUUAACACCAUGAAUAACCCUUCUAAAAUAACAUGAUUCCCGAAAACCAGCUAACACUUCUUGAAUCCCAACAAUGCCAAUGACUCUGGCUGUUUAAACUGAUAUCACAAUCAGAUCUCAGAGUCCAAAAAUCAUAUGCUCCCACCACACUUUGGUGACCAAUUCUCUCUUCCUUUGACAACCCCAAAAGCCUUUCCAAACAUAAUUUCUAAGGUUACUGGAACCUAGUCAUAAUUCCCUUGUUCAAGCCCUUGAACCAACCCCGAAAAUAACUGGAGCAGGUGCACCCACUGCUCCUCCCUGAUCGUCAGUCAAUCGACCUCCUUGUCGUUCACCUAAACACAACGAAAAUAUAACGAGGUUGCUCCCUAUGGGCAAUCCCUGAUGAUGGGGCCAAACCUGCUACACCUAUAGCAACCCAGAUCACUGAACAGAUUCUGAAAACGACUCAGAGCAAUCACGGUACAUGCAGAAUCAGUUCCGCAAGAUACGUUCGUCUGAAAAUCUCUCAAAGAUUCCUCAACAUGCUGAAUGGCAUCAGAAAACCCUUGCUAACCUAGACAAUAGCACAAAAUCAACCUGAGAUCCAACUCAUCACAAUUUCCCAAGAAUUACAAAUACUCGGUAUCCACCGGAAAUGGCCGAAGAUAGCAUAUUCGCAAACAUCUGAAGGUAUCUUGACCACCUCCUCCUGUGAUACCUCAACUACCCUGAGAACAUGAUGUAGCACCUCAUUCCGAUCCCAAUAGCAAUCCAAACCCUUGGGGUGAAACUUCAUCAUGCAGUUUCUGAAAGCGUUACACUGGAUCCGGCCCUGCUGGCUUUUCAAAAGCUGAUCUAAACUCUUGGGUCUCCACCCGAGACCCUCCAAUAAAUUCGCCUGACCUGAACCUCCCUCGUUGAGAUAUUCCUAAUCAAUCUUCCAUCCUCGACUCUGAGAUCCAUAUCAUUCAGGGUCUCGCACCCUGACACACUCACCAGCUCAAUCGACACGACUAUACUGCAAUAACUGGAGUAAUCUCUGCUCUAACCGGGCUACAAUAUCCCUGAUACUUGGUCUCCAAACCCGAAUGUGAAAUAGAUCGCACAAUCAACCCUUGCUGCCUGAUACAAAGGAUCCGAGGCGAACUCAAAAUCCUAGCAGUCCUUCCACUGGCUGGCUCACCACCGGAGCCGGGACCAAAUCCUAAUCCCACUUAUGCGUGCUCAUCCUCAUUCUGCAAAGCAACUAUUCCCAUGAUCAAGGCAUAACCAAGAAUUCUCCUUCCCAUAAGCUUCUCAAAUUCUCUAAGACUCUCACCGAUUCGAGUAUGGAUCAUGUGCUUUCAGUAGUACGGGUCCAAUACUACCUUCCACACCUAUCCAUACUUUCCUCAGCAAUCCUCCUGAAUCCUUUAAGUCGCUUACUCCACCGGUACACUAAAUGUCUACUAAACAACAAGACAAUCUCUACCAUAGCACCUCCUAGACUCCCCCUAGGUUCCCAACUCCACAGAAUCACCCCACUAAGCUUACUGGAGCAUAACAUAGGCUUUCCUAGGUUCCCAACCUCGCUAUUCCAUCAGCUGCUGAGGACUCCUCAUGAUGCCAACCAUCCACCUCCUGGAUAUCGUCAUGUCCACUUAGUAGCUGACUCCCAUCAUUCAAGAGUUCCACAAAGCACAAAGCAAGCAUCAUUUGUGCAGUAGCAUUCCGAUCCAAAGAAUUAUCAUAGAACUUUCCGUUCACAUGUCGCGACUUGCGAUGUCCACAUCCAUCCAUCCUCACAGUCGGUUGCCUUUAUAUAUGCAAAUUGUACACAUAACAGGAAGUGAGUCCUAACCGUAUACAAUUUUUAAAACAUACACUUAACAAUUACAAAUACCAAUUAUCAUUCUAAUUCCAUCAUGACAUCCAAUAUCCUCAUGGCUACAAGCACCACAUAUCAAGCCAACCUAUUGCUGACUACUAAGCACUAGCAUGCAAGUUUACCAGCUCAUACAACAUAUAAAGGCAUCUCUCCUAGCCCUAACUAGCAUGCGAUUCUCAUAUUCAUAAAUGAAAUCAUAACAAAUAACAAUUGUGGGUAUUCUAGGAAACUUACUUGAGGUCAGUUCAAUGCAUGCACCACACCCUUUCUUGUCUUAGAAAACCUUUUCCUUGAUACAUUUUCUUUUGAAAAUUUUGAAAGUUUUAUAGAUCCUCAGUUUGAGUCCAGACACACCCGAAGGUAUCCCCGAAUCCCUAAAACCAAGGCUCUGAUAUCAACUUGUAACGACCCAAAAAUCAAGGGUAAAAAUUUCAUUUUUAAUAUAGCUAAAACAUUGAUACCCUUUAUUCUAAACAAUUCAAAUCAUAAUUAAGUAAAACAUUUAUCAGAGUUCAUCCCAAAAUCAUUCACUGCGGAAAUCAUAGGCGUGUGCACUACGAUCAAUCUGAGCCCUUCCUUUCCAAAACGAUGACACCUGAAACCAUAAACAAAACCUGUAAGCACGAAGCUUAGUGAGUUUCCUAGAGCAUACCAUACACACAAACCACAUAUCACAUAUCCUGUUGCUAUACAAGCUACCUGUAUCAAAUUUCCUGCUAGCUAUAAAAGCUACAUACAACACAUAAGCCAUGCAUAGAAACCUGUAAGGAUGCCGUGGGCUCCCCCAGGGUCUUACACCAUUGUGCCAUGGGAUACCCCACAUGGUCUUAACCUGAGAAUGCCAUGGGCUACCCCACAUGGUCUUAUAUCUAAUUGCCACAGGCUCCCCCCGGGGUCUUCCAUGCAAGUAUCACAAAGACAACUAGCAUAACACAUAUCACAUAAACAUAUCAUAUAUCACAGAAAUAUCUACACAUAACACAAAUAAACCUGUAAGAAUGCCAUGGGAUCCCCCCAGGGUCUUACACCAUUGUGCCAUGCGCUACCCCACAUGGUCUUUACCUAGGAAUGCCAUGGGCUACCCCACAUGGUCUUACAUCUAAUGCCACGGGCUCCCCCCGGGGUCUUCCAUGCAAUAACACACAAUCACAUAGCAUAUCAAAUCAUAGAAUGACUAAAACAUAUACCAUAAUCACAUAAUGGGCCGGCCUUGGUGCCUUAGACCCAUGGGUAUGGUGAGAAGACUCACCUCGAAUGCAGAAGCUUCCUGAAGAAGUCCUUAGCUGCUGCCCCACCAGCUACCCGAGCUGUCACUACCGAUCAAUAUACCCCAUUAGCAAUUAGGUCCCAUACCAUAAUCCUUAAUCCAUGCAUGGGGUAAAAUGACCAUUUUAUUCCUGACGCAAUAUGAUCCAAAACUAAGGCCUGAACCUAAAACAAAGCCCAACAUUAUAAUGUCCAUAAAACCAUCAAUGGCCCAAUUUUCCAAAUUGGGCCCAAACCAUUCUAAUGGACCUUAUACUAAAGCUCAAUAUUCUCCUUAGUCAAUAAUCCUGACCCCAAAUGGCCCACGAAGGCCUAAAACAACCUAGUCCAAGAAUUGGCCCAAUACUAAGUAAGUUUCCCAAGCCUACUAGUAGCCCACUAAUGGCCCAAUUUGCAACAUUGGGCCCAAUCCCUUAUGGGCCUUACCCUAAGCCCAAUUAUAUUUUCCUUGGCCCAUAUUAACUGACUCCUGACAGCCCACUAUGGCCCAAAGGCCAAAAAUCCAAAAACACAGCCCACACCGAGGCCCAAUAUGUACAAAGCCCAACUCUACUGAGUACGCUGGGCGUACUCCAAUGUACACUAAGCGUACUAGCCUGCUAGUGAGUACGCUGGGCGUACCUGCACGUACGCUCAACGUAAUCCUCCUGUUACGACACUUUUUCAUUAAGUGCUUGAUACUCCACUCUAGAGGCUACCAACUCAGAUCCAGGUCCUUACUGAUGUCUUAAACCAUAAAGUCACUAACUUGAUGACUUGCAAUCCACCAAACAAGCCCAAACUCUAAAAGGUGACAACAUGCUUUCAUUCCAAGGGCUAGAUCUCAUGCGUGGACACAAAUGAGUCCUAAAGGUUGAAACUUU
rnacentral:lncRNA from 1 species